rnacentral:rRNA from 1 species
UACGGGGGGAGCAAGCGUUGUUCGGAUUUACUGGGCGUAAAGGGCGGGUAGGCGGCCACCGCAAGUCAGUUGUGAAAUCUCUGGGCUUAACCCAGAAAGGUCAACUGAUACUGCGGGGCUAGAGUGCAGAAGGGGCAACUGGAAUUCUCGGUGUAGCGGUGAAAUGCGUAGAUAUCGAGAGGAACACCUGCGGCGAAGGCGGGUCGCUGGGCUGACACUGACGCUGAACUGCGAAAGCUAGGGGAGCGAACGGG